GCAUCAUUGGUGUAGAGGUUAGCAUGGAAUCUUCCCAGGAAGAAAGUACGCUUUCCACCCGUUAGGUUUCGACGUGGGUUCGAUUCCCGCAUGAUGCA